rnacentral:tRNA from 1 species
CGAGCAGUAGUUCAGUUGGCAGAACGCCGCGUUUGGGAUGCGGAGGUCGCACGUUCAAAUCGUGUCUGCUCGA